CGUAUGCCACACGUGUGACAUAAAACCUUUUCAUCUUCCUCUGCAUGUGCUGCCGUUUGCACCACAACACUUCCAUUUCCUGCUUCAGACACACACAGCGAAGAGUUCUCAACAUGAACAGUGCUUUAUUUAUAAUCAUUAUCCCACUCUUCUGGAUCAAAGGAAUAUCGCCAAAUCAAAGUAAAGAUGUUCAUCAGACUCCAGCUGAUCUGCUGGGGGAGAAACACGAUAAAGUCAAACUGACCUGCAAACACAACAUCAACAACUAUGACACUAUUCUGUGGUAUCAUCGCUCACAAGGAGACUCUUCUUUAAAGCUAGUCGGUUUUACAAGUUAUACAUCUGUUCAAACUGUUGAAAAAUCCUUUCAGGGUAGUUUUAACGUAAGUGGAAAUGGUGAGAAGGAGGCAUUACUUCAUUUGCUCAAACUGAGGCAUCCCGAAGACAGCGGGCAUUAUUUCUGUGCAGCAGUCACACCACAAUAGAAAAGCCCCAAAUUCCCCUACAAAAACUAUCACCCUGCACACCUGGAGCAAACCACAUGAACGGGACAGUGGGAGGAGCUGCAAAAAUGAAGAAAUGGCAGAAAGACAGCGAGACAGGCAGAGUUUUUGUCCCUUUCUAGCAGACAGUCGGUUGAUCUUCUGACUUCAUAUUCAAACAGUUCUGCAGAGAUUUCAGCUGGUUCAUGAGAUUCAGCAUGAUCCGGCCUCAUCUCGUCAUUCCCAUCAUCAUCUGGAUUGAAGGAGUUUCCCUCAGUAAAGAAAUGCAAGUGCUUCAGACAGCUGAGCUGCUGAGGCCACAGAACGAUGAAGUCAAGCUGACCUGCACACAUAAAAACCCAAACUUUAACACUAUUCUGUGGUAUCAGCGCU